rnacentral:rRNA from 1 species
AUGUAUCUGGCAAAGUGCCUUCCGAGUCCCCUGGAACGGGGCGCCGGAGAGGGUGAGAGCCCCGUACGYGUGAUGCUCCUUCAAAGAGUCGAGUAGUUUGGGAAUGCUGCUCUAAGCGGGAGGUAAAUUCCUUCUAAAGCUAAAUAUUGGCCAGAGACCGAUAGCGCACAAGUAGAGCGAUCGAAAGAUGAAAAGCACCUUGGAAAGAGGGUUAAACAGUACGUGAAAUUGCUGAAAGGGAAGCGCUUGCGACCAGACUCGGUCAUUCUCGGGUGCACUCCGACUUGGGCCAGCAUCGAUUUGUGCCGAAGGAUAAAAGCGGCGGGAAUGUAGCUCUGGGGAGUGUUAUAGUAAUGCUUCGGUGCGGAUCGAGGACCGCGCACUGCGAGGAUGCUGGCUUAAUGGUCUCCAGCGACCCGUCUUGAAACACGGACCAAGGAGUCGAACAUUUGUGCGAGUGUGUGGGUGACAAACCCUUACGCGUAAUGAAAGUGAACGGAGGUGGGAGCCGGGCGCACCAUCGACCGAUCCUGAAGUUUUCGGAUGGAUUUGAGUAAGAGCAUAAAUGUUCGGACCCGAAAAUGGUGAACUAUGCCUGCGUAGGGUGAAGCCAGAGGAAACUCUGGUGGAGGCUCGCAGCGGUUCUGACGUGCAAAUCGAUCGUCAAACGUGGGCAUGGAAAGACUAAUCGAACCAUAGUAGCUGGUUUCCGCCGAAGUUUCCCUCAGGAUAGCAGUGCGAUCUCAGUUUUAUGAGGUAAAGCGAAUGAUUAGGGAAUCGGGGGGCUAUUUAGCCUUCAUCCAUUCUCAAACUUUAAAUGCGUAAGAAGCCCUUGUCGCUUAGGUGGACGUGGGCCUUCGAAUGGCACUAGUGGGCCAUUUUUGGUAAGCAGAACUGGCGAUGCGGGAUGAACCGAACGCGGGGUUAAGGUGCCGGAGUGGACGCUCAUCGGAUACCACAAAAGGCGUUAGUACAUCUUGACAGCAGGGCGGUGGCCAUGGAAGUCGGAAUCCGCUAAGGACUAACAACUCACCUGCCGAAUGUACUAGCCCUGAAAAUGGAUGGCGCUCAAGCGUCCCACCCAUACCCCGCCCCCUGGGUAGGAUCGAUGCCCAGGGGAGUAGGCGGA